rnacentral:rRNA from 1 species
GACGAACUUUGGCGGCGUGCUUAACACAUGCAAGUCGAACGGAAAGGCCCUGCUUUUGUGGGGUGCUCGAGUGGCGAACGGGUGAGUAACACGUAAGUAACCUGCCCUUGACUUUGGGAUAACUUCAGGAAACUGGGGCUAAUACCGGAUAGGAGCUCCUGCUGCAUGGUGGGGGUUGGAAAGUUUCGGCGGUUGGGGAUGGACUCGCGGCUUAUCAGCUUGUUGGUGGGGUAGUGGCUUACCAAGGCUUUGACGGGUAGCCGGCCUGAGAGGGUGACCGGCCACAUUGGGACUGAGAUACGGCCCAGACUCCUACGGGAGGCAGCAGUGGGGAAUAUUGCACAAUGGGCGGAAGCCUGAUGCAGCAACGCCGCGUGCGGGAUGACGGCCUUCGGGUUGUAAACCGCUUUCGCCUGUGACGAAGCGUGAGUGACGGUAAUGGGUAAAGAAGCACCGGCUAACUACGUGCCAGCAGCCGCGGUGAUACGUAGGGUGCGAGCGUUGUCCGGAUUUAUUGGGCGUAAAGGGCUCGUAGGUGGUUGAUCGCGUCGGAAGUGUAAUCUUGGGGCUUAACCCUGAGCGUGCUUUCGAUACGGGUUGACUUGAGGAAGGUAGGGGAGAAUGGAAUUCCUGGUGGAGCGGUGGAAUGCGCAGAUAUCAGGAGGAACACCAGUGGCGAAGGCGGUUCUCUGGGCCUUUCCUGACGCUGAGGAGCGAAAGCGUGGGGAGCGAACAGGCUUAGAUACCCUGGUAGUCCACGCUGUAAACGGUGGGUACUAGGUGUGGGGUCCAUUCCACGGGUUCCGUGCCGUAGCUAACGCUUUAAGUACCCCGCCUGGGGAGUACGGCCGCAAGGCUAAAACUCAAAGGAAUUGACGGGGCCCCGCACAAGCGGCGGAGCAUGCGGAUUAAUUCGAUGCAACGCGUAGAACCUUACCUGGGUUUGACAUGGAUCGGGAGUGCUCAGAGAUGGGUGUGCCUCUUUUGGGGUCGGUUCACAGGUGGUGCAUGCCUGUCGUCAGCUCGUGUCGUGAGAUGUUGGGUUAAGUCCCGCAACGAGCGCAACCCUUGUUCACUGUUGCCAGCACGUUAUGGUGGGGACUCAGUGGAGACCGCCGGGGUCAACUCGGAGGAAGGUGGGGAUGACGUCAAGUCAUCAUGCCCCUUAUGUCCAGGGCUUCACGCAUGCUACAAUGGCUGGUACAGAGAGUGGCGAGCCUGUGAGGGCGAGCGAAUCUCGGAAAGCCGGUCUCAGUUCGGAUUGGGGUCUGCAACUCGACCUCAUGAAGUCGGAGUCGCUAGUAAUCGCAGAUCAGCAACGCUGCGGUGAAUACGUUCCCGGGGCU